GAGGAAGAUUUGCACAAUUGUUUCUCGAAUUCUAUGAGAUCAGAUCAAAAUCUCGAUGAUGCAUGCUAACGACGCUAUCAACUAUCAACGAUAUUUCGAGAAAUUAGUUUUUACAGUUACCAUCAAGCUUUUAUUUAGGACAAAAAUUUAAAAUUAUCAGACUAAAAACUGACACGCUACACGCAAAAUCGUCUGCACUUAUACGGUUAGCAGUGACCGUGGCGAUGGUGGAGAAGUUGUGCGACGCGACACGAGACCGGCAAUCGCUUAAUUGUGAUUAAUUGCGGUUUUACCAGGAAAAGAUCGCGUUGUAACGGCGCGAGCCAAUUACUCGGCGCGAGUCGUCCAACCGAUUCGCUUGCUCGCGCAACUUUAAAGAGCCAGUUGCGUGCCACGCUUUGUUUCCCUUGCUUUCACGCAUCGUAUCGAAAAAAAAACCCACAGCCCUCUGGAUUUCUCAGCGAUUCUACUUGAUCGUGUUCGCUGAUCACUCUCCCAUCUACAAUAGCUUGACUCCCGCGAAUAACUUCAUUGCGACAAUUAAAAUUAUCGACUGUACCGUUUACAAGAGCUCCUUUCGUAUAGCCGAAGACUUGUGUCACGCAAAUUCGAUUUUACAAAUGCUCUUCCGUUUAAAAGAAAAGUAAAGAAGACACAAAAUAAUUUAUAUACGUCUAUAGUUUCUGGAAGAAAUUUCUUGAAAGAAGAAGAUCUCAACAGUCUAUGAUAAAUAGUUAUUACGAUCAAGGAAUUUCAUGGAUCAUCAUGCCUGUACCAUCCUUAACCCACUUGCAACUGAUUGCGGACCAUAACGAGUGACCAAAUACAUUAAUUUCGUCGCUUUCUUUUUGAA